CUCUCUGCUCUUCUCCCACUUGUAUUCUGUCUCUGUCUCUCUCUCAGAUAUAAACGUUAAAAAAAUUGUUUUAAAUAAAACCCUCACUAAAAAAAUGGAGUUAUGUAACACCUUUGUAUCCGUAUCAUCAGAUGAAAUAGGCAGCAUAUUCCCUAGUCAACAAAGUACUAACCAAAUCUAGCUACCAAAACAGGAAAGAAGAGUUGUUUGUCUUCUAUCAUCUUCCCUAAAUAGUGGCAAAGCUUUGGUCUUCUGGAUCCAGGGGGACUUCUGAAUCAUUGCUAGAGUUGAAAAGACCUCCCUCUUUGGCCAACUAUGCUUUGAGAGGAAAACUUGCUGGAAAACAUUAGAACCACACACUGGUAGUUUAUUUACCCAAUGCUAAACCGCUUGUUUGACAUUUCACUCUAAACUGACCAAUGAUUUGAGUAUUGUGUAGACAACCACAGAGAACAACUAAAACAGUGGGAAAGUAUUAUUUUAGAAGUACUUACUGUUUUAUUAACACUUAGAGGGGAGAAUUCCCUGCUUCUACUCAGAUUCGGUUCUUCAUGUUCCAAUGUGAAGUAGGUUGCCCAAUUGUCAAAUUUGUCAAUAUAGUUUUUAGUCCUGCAGCCCAUCAUUAGAUGACAGAAAAACAUCAUGUUGUGGCAAAGAAUCAGUAGGUAGUAAUCAAAUGUCCCAUGAUGUUGACAUUUCCCAACCCUCCAUAGAUUUUUUUUUUAAAGGGAGAAUCCUAGAAGUAUCAGACUAGCAGGCCUGUGAAGGACCAGCUCUCUGGAGAUAAUGACACAUUUUGUCCUGAUAAUCUUCAGAUGUUAAUACCUUAAAAGUUACUCAGUUGAAGUUGCUUUCAAAUUAAACACCAUUGCUAUAGUGUUUCUGUUGUGAUUGUCGGAGGGAAGUGGAGCCAGUGCAAUUUGUCCAUGUUUUACAAAUCACCAUCUGGCAGGGAUAUGGCAACAUGUGAAAUCUUCACAGGACUCUUGUUUUUCUACUAUCUGCUGGAUAACUAAGGAGAUCACCAGACUGCUGGGAUGACUGCCAGAUGGUAAGCAGGACUAUGGAUUGUGUGUUGAAACUUCCAGUGUUUGAAGAUCUGCUUCUUUGCCCUUUGAACCCUGAGCAAGGAACCUUUCCAAGCAGUGUGAACUCACUGGCUUCCCCAUAACGCUACAGAGCUCACGCUGCCAUAUAACUGGGAAUCGGAGAGGGCUGCUCCUUUUUGAACGAAGAAAAAAGAAAAAAAAGAUGUAUCCAGAGCAUCGUCCUCCAAACAAACAAGAGGAGCACAUAUUUGCAAGCUAUAUAGUAAAGUUGUUGCAAUGAAGAUUUUGAUUUUAAUUAAGAAUGGGAUUUGUAGGACAAUUAGUGAGAUGUAAUAUUCUUUGCAAGAAACAGUACCCUUAUUGGAAAUACCACCUAAAAUGGAGUGGGGGCAUUUGGAGCUGCACAGAGACUUAUAUCUAUGGGUUUCUACAGUUAAUGAGAAAGAAAAAUACAAGAAAAAUGUAGGUACCUCACCUGAAAUGCAGGAAUACAAAUACCGUUUGCCUGGUUUUUUUUCCCCUCCUUAAUUUUUCUUUUUAAUUUAAACCAUAGAAAUCUGUGCUGUUGAGAUUUCAACCAGGUAAUCAUCUUAUCAUUAAUACGUUUAUGUUAUUUCUUCACAUUGACCUAAACCACUGAUCAUUAGGAGUAUACCUCAUCUUUUUUGAUGAUUUUACAAGGACAUAAUAAUAUACUUAAUAGUAAUAAAGGCAACAAACUCUCCAGUUAUUUUUGGUAUGCUCAGCUGUCCUGACAUUAAAAAGAGGGCUUUUUCUUACA